rnacentral:misc_RNA from 1 species
GGUUCAAUAUCCCACCCYUCUCACUCCCAUUUAUUUGUGURUGAGGCGUGUGUGUGGGGAUAAAUCGCAGUCUCGCCCCGUCAAACGGACGAGUCUGCCGAAGUCAACAAGGUGCCUCANAGUGUGGUGUUCGGUCUCUCGGGAUCGUUCAUCAUYUCAAGCCGCACUCGAAUACACAUCUCGUAUGUCUUUCGACCUCGACGUCUUGCACUCUGANGAURYGUGCUUAAAAYCCACRU